rnacentral:rRNA from 1 species
ACUCAGUUUAACGAAGUUUUGAGUUCGGGAGUAGAGGCAGGGUCAAACCGUUUCUCUUUUGAACUUGGGAUUGUUAGAUGUACUUUUUCUUUGGCAGGUCAGCGUCGAUUUCGGAGGUUGUAAAAUACUUGGGGGAAAGUAGCCCUGCUUCGGGAGAGUAUUAUAGACCCUGGGGGAUGCAGCCUGCGGGAUCGAGGAUUGCAGCAAAUGCCUUUGGCUUGUCGCCUGAUCUCUGGAUGUUACCUCGCUUGUGACAACAUUCUUGCCACCUGUGGGUACUAAUGCCCAUUAGGUUAGAGCGAUCAAAAAUUUUGCUAAGGAUGCUGACGUA